CCCUUAGAUGUUCUGGGCAGCACGCGCGCUACAAUGGUCUUCGCAAACGGAUGCAUUCUCGAAGGAGAAUGCCAAUCUUGGAAUCUAUGCCUUGGUCGGGACAGUUGCUUGCAAUUUUUCGACUCGAACCAGGAAUUCCUUGUAAUCGUGAUUCAUCACAUCACGAUGAAUACGUCCCUGCCCUUUGUACACACCGCCCGUCGCUCCUACCGAUCGAAGAGUUAGGUGAAUUGUUUUGAUCGAUAAGAUUUGACUAUGGUCAACUCUCGUUGUGAAAUUCUGUGAAUCUGCCUGUUUAGAGGAAGGAAAAGUCGUAACA
rnacentral:rRNA from 1 species